rnacentral:tRNA from 1 species
AGUUUAUGAACUUGUUAUAAGUAUAUAUUUUGAAAAUAUAAAAAAGAGAAAUAAACUCUCUAUUAACUU